UCACAUCAAGUGCAGGGAAAGUAAAUUCUAUCACUGUAGGUCCAGAAACCAGGCAUCAUACUGAGGUUCAGAUGGAUAUAUAUUCAGAGAAGCAUCCAUCGCGUAGGAAACACAAGGUAAACCCGCACUGCGGAAAGGGAUUCUUGCCUCCACCUCGAUGACCCUCGCUCGGCGCCACCGCCACGCGCCGCCCUGAGUUGCAGACCCUGUUGCCACGCCCGCCGCCACCACCUGCCGCCUCCGCAUGGUGCGGCCCACGCCCGCCGCCACCACCUGCCGCCUCCGUGUGGUGCGGCCCACACCCGCCACCUCGUGCUGCCGCCUCUGCGUGGUGUAGGCUGCCACCGCGUGUUGCCGCCCCAUGCACGAGACUCACUCAUGGAAACCUACCUACCUACUCCUUGCCACAUAAAGUAUGCUUUGAGUUAGGACAGGCGGGCGG
rnacentral:lncRNA from 1 species